UGCGCCUUCUGUCAAAAACGAUCCGACGCUGACGUCGAUCGACAUGACCGACAUCGCCAAAACAAAACCGCGUUUUUGUUCGUGAAAUUCUUUCAAUUUCUAGUGCAGGUAUUUUAUACCGAGAACCUACCGGACAUUCCCCCGGAAAAUUCCGGAGCCGCGAACAAAUCUCGAUCUCGAUCGAUAAGAUCAAAAGAUCAAGUGAAAAAACGAGAGCCGAAGUGUGAAGUAUUGUGAUUCCGGAAACGGGUUCGGCAGUAAACGGGAAACAGUAAACCGGACCAGGAUUUCACUGCCACAAGGAGACCAGAUUCGCCCCUCCCUCCGUUUUCCCUUCGCCUUCCCCGACCGUUCCUGCUGGAUGCUAAACUACAUACAGAAAAACUGGAAAGCUUAUUGGUAGAUAAGACAAUCAACAAUUCUACGCCAUACAUUUCGGUUUGCUGCUGCUUCCUCGGGAACAUCGCCACAUCACCUGAUCAGACCACCUUGUGCUCCACGUCGUACCAUCCGGAUGUCUUGCGAACAUAAUCGUUGCAUGAUUACUAUCCGGCAUACUUGCAGCAUGCCCUGCCCACCGUAUCCUUCCAGUUUUGAUCACCUUGUGGAAGUUGCGUUCGUCGUAGAGUGCAGCGAGCUCAUGGUUCAUCCUUCGCUAACACCACCAUCCUCGAGCAAGGUCCGUAGAGCGAUCAUCGGUUUUUAAUCAAGCGUUUUGUACAUGGUACAUUUGGUGCGGGCAUGAAUCGAGCAAUUCCUUAUCGUCACUAUUAACCAUGGCUUGCCAGGUCUAAUUUGAUUACUUAUAUUUUAUUUUAUGUUUUUGUAUUUAUAUGUGAAUAAAUAGUUCUGCUUGG